rnacentral:ncRNA from 1 species
AUAGCGGCGCCGAAGGAGAGCAGUACCGCGACACGCGGCGUAAAAGAGAGACCGGUAUAGGUGAGAGCCGGUCGCGCUGACGACGCGAGAAUUCGCUCCGGAGCUGACCGGCAGAAAAGCCGGUCCGGGUGAAGCCCGAUAGCGCUUCGACCGAGCGUCCUUCUCGUUAAUGAGAAGGGAACACGGGUGGUACCGCGGAGGCCCGCCUUCGUCCCGAAC